UACGUAGGUGGCAAGCGUUGUCCGGAUUUAUUGGGUUUAAAGGGUGCGUAGGCGGCCUUAUAAGUCAGUGCUGAAAUAUCCCGGCUUAACCGGGAGGGUGGCAUUGAUACUGUAGGGCUUGAGUAAAGUUGAGGUUGGCGGAAUUGACGGUGUAGCGGUGAAAUGCUUAGAUAUCGUCAAGAACACCUAUAGCGAAGGCAGCUUACUAGGCUGUAACUGACGCUGAGGCACGAAAGUGUGGGGAUCAAACAGG
rnacentral:rRNA from 1 species